rnacentral:lncRNA from 1 species
CCGCAGCGGGGGCAUUGCCAAAGUUUCCCUGCGGGCGGGAGAAGUCCCGGCAGCGGCUCCCGGUGCCUUUGUUCGGUGCCGGGGAGGGCCCGGAGUGGCCGCGGUGGGACAGGGGGCACCGGGGCCGCUGCUGGAGCGCUGGGUCUGUACCUGCGGGCAGACCUUAAUUUAUUUGGGAUUGGGAUCCCCAUGGCACGUGCACUAGAGGAUAAUUUGGAGUAAGGAG